rnacentral:tRNA from 1 species
GGGCCGGUAGCUCAGUCGGUUAGAGCAGCGGACUCAUAAUCCGUCGGUCGUGGGUUCGAGCCCCACCCGGCCCA